rnacentral:rRNA from 1 species
AUGCCGAUUUGGUCCUUGGAACCUAAUGGGUUAUACUUUGUGAAAUCUUUCUAUAAAAGCAUCAACUUUGGGGGGAUAGCUUCUGCUAUCAAAGAUGAUCUUUGGAAAAUUAUGUGCCCUCGGAAGAUACAUGUAUUCUUGUGGUUGUGUGCUCAUAAUAAAAUUCUGACUAGGGAUAACCUUUCUAAAAGAAGGGAGGUGGAGGACCCUUCUUGUCUUUUCUGUGCAGAACUCGAAUCUGUACAUCAUUUGAUGUUUGAUUGUGUAGUUGCUCGACAUGUGUGGGGAUUUGUAUCCGAAUUUUUUGAAAUUGAUAGAAUUGCUAGUUUUGAUGAUAUCUUUGCUUUCUGGCAAGUUCAUAAAAAGAAACCUGUGCUCAACAUGGUAUAUGGAGCUUGUGGAGACUAA